UACGUAGGGGGCAAGCGUUGUCCGGAUUUAUUGGGCGUAAAGAGCGUGUAGGCGGCCAGGUAGGUCAGCUGUGAAAACUCGAGGCUCAACCUCGAGACGCCGGUUGAAACCAUCUGGCUAGAGUCCGGCAGAGGAGAGUGGAAUUCCUGGUGUAGCGGUGAAAUGCGCAGAUAUCAGGAAGAACACCCGUGGCUAAGGCGGCUCUCUAGUACGGUACUGACGCUGAGACGCGAAAGCGUGGGGAGCGAACAGG
rnacentral:rRNA from 1 species